UGUCCUGAGGCUGGAUUUGAACUCAGGUCUUCCUGACUCCAGGCUUGGAGCUCUAUCCACUGCACCACCCAGUUGCCCAGCUACAGCUGUCCCUGGGUUAGUUCGUAUUUACUUUAUUGUUUUGAUUUGACUUAUUUGUAUACAGACUGGCCUCCGAGUAGACUGUGAGCUCCUUGCGGGCAGGAAUGGUAGGUUUGGGGUGUUUUGCGUGGCUUGUUUUUCACUCUAUCCCUGGCCCCUAACGCUGGGUUUAAUACAGAAUAGGUGAUUAAUAAAUGCUUGUCGGCUGAGUGAAAGCUUGAAUGAAAUCCCCUUUUUGUCCAGGAGCUCCAGGUGGAAGGGCUUGAAGCUGCAGGACUUUCCAGUGAGUGAAAGUGUUGUCCGGGGCUAGAAGAGCUGAGCCAGCCUGCCCUCCUUAGGGAAUGAGCCAGAGGUUUUCUGUGUCUGGAUCACAGACCCAGGAAGAUCUGAGUUCAGGGCCUGCCUUGCACACAGGGCAAGAACGGUGAUGUGAGCCGAGACAAGUCUCCAAGCAUCUCAGUGCCCCAGGUGAAUUGUCAGGACAAUGCAAAGCAGUUGCAGAUUCUCCUUCUUAGCAUAAAAGCACAUGUCCAGGCUACCAGAGAAUUCUGGCUUCACUUUCCAAAUCAAUUCUGCCAAAAAUGUUCUGCCAGGAACUCUGGGGGAUAAAAAAACAACAACAAAGUGGGGGAACCAGUCCUUACCGCCAAGGAGCUUAUAUUCUAAUGGGGCAAUCAACAUAUAAAUAAUUAGGUGCCUACAAGAUGUCUACAGAGUGGUUGGACAGGGAGCCUCCAGCGGUGAAGGCCCUGGAGGGUGGGCAGAGAAGGCCAGGAAAGGUAUUCUUCAGAAGGGGUGGUGUUUCAUUAGAGCCAUCCACACUGGGAAAGCCAAGCAGAUGAAGAAUGCCUAUUGUUCUAACUAUGUGGCCUUUGUUGCAUCAGUGGAGGAAUCUGAGACAGAUGUGGCCAAUGGCCAAUGAGCUGGGACCUGAAUAGAACAGUCAGUCAACAAGCCUGUCUUAAGGGUUUAAGUAUGUGCCAGGCACUGUGCUGAAUGCUGGAGCCCAGGAGCAGAGGAGCCAGAGGGCAGGCUGGAUGGCCUUUGGGGAUGGCCUUAAGUAGUUUUAAUCACCCCAGGCUUCCUCUUGAAACAAGGGCCCAACUUGUUAAGAAUGGUACUCCAUGGAUAAUGGCAUAUGGCCACCAGCCAUGGAAUGCUGUAUUCCGGGAAGAAUGGAAGUUGUAAAUUGUCCAAGGGGCAAUGGAGAGGCCCGAGGAGGGCAGGCUCAAACUGUGGGACGUCACCAAGCAAGAAUUAUGUAAGAGGAGUGGGGCAAAGGCUGUCCCCAGAGGGAGGUCAGAUGGAAAAGGAGGUGGUCUAGUCCCGGGCGAGAGUGAGGGCUAGAUCACGGAGAAGCCGCUGAUCCACUGGCCUGCUCACAUCCCAUGGAGUGGCAGCUUGGCACCUCACCUCUCUCUACGGAGGCUCCAGAAUAUUGGGUGGAAGUCCCCUGGAGAAGCUCGGAAGGGACUUGAAGGAGAGGAGAAGAGAGGGUGUGAAUGGCUUUGGCUUGAAUUCACUCCACCACUCAAUAAACUUCGCUGACUCCCUACUACCCUAAGGUCUUCUGUUCUACAUCUAACGGCACUGUACAACGUGGGCUCUAACCCUGUUAUUCUGCUUGCUGUCCGCUCAGUGACCUUCACACUCUCUCUAAGUCAGUUCAACUGUCCUUCCUGCCAUUCUGCCAGCACGCUUCUCCAAGUUCCAUCUCCGUGCUUUGCCCAGGCUGUCCUCAAUGCUGUUCUCCCUCAUUUUAGUCCUUACAAAUCCCCGUUUUCCUCAAAAUUAGCUCGAGUCACCUUCUACAUGAGGCCUUUUCUGAGGUCUCCCCGAAUGACCUUGUAUUUAUGACUUAUUUUGUAUAUAUCGACAUAUGUGUGCAUUGUCUCCCCCACUAGAAUGGAAGCUCCUUGGAGGCAGGGUUGUUUUGUUUUGUUUUCUAUCUUUGUAGCUUCAGCAUUUAGCUUCUCCCCUAUCACAUGGUAGGCCCUUUAAAAUGCUUGUAGAUUGACUGAUUGAUUGCUGGGAGGGAGCAUUCAUCUUGGAGAGAUCACAGAUCCGUCAACAUAUGGAAGGCUCCCCCUAGGAGACAGUGAGCUCCCCGAGAUUCAUCUCUCCUUCAUCGGUGCAUACAGCAGCUGCCACUGUGACUGGGCUUGGCAUCGUCCCAGACGACACAGAGGAAGUUAUACUGAAUGGAGUAGUAAGAGUCACAGGUGUCAUAGCAGCCAUGGAGGUUUGGCACAGCAGGGUCAUCGAAAAGCAACUGCCCCACCCAAAGGACAGGAUGGGCCAUUGAGGGAAGCUGCGUCACUGCUGAGUCACCAGGAGGCCAGAGAAGCUGGGGAGGGGAGCUAGGGUCCAGGUGAUAGGUGUGUGUGUGCCCACUCCCAGCUUGUUCCGGGGUGGGGGAGGAGUUGAGCAGAGGCAGGGGGACAGACUGAUCUUACGAUGAUUGGAUGGUCACAGUGGGCCCCAAGAUAAAAAUCCCCCACUUUCUCCUGGGUUGAUAACAGCACGAAACUGAUCACUUCCUUCCUCUUUUCCAGUGACUCACCCAUUGUCUCCCUGUAUUGGGCUUUCCCUCUGCCUGGACUGAGCUGACUCAGUGACUAUUCCCUUGCCGUGUGCUUUUUCCUCAUCUGUACAAUGAGCUGGUGAAGGAAAUGGCAAACCACUCUAGUAUCUCUGCUAAGAAAACCCUCAAUGGGGUCACAAACAGCCAGACAGGACUGGACAACCACCAUAAACCAGUAGGUCCUUCCUUUGAAGAGGACCAGGGACAUCAGGAGGGUGAUGUCUUUACUGGUGAGUACAUUGGGUUUGAAUGAGGCAGAGCUGGGCUAAGUCAUGAGCCUCACUCUCUCCUUCAGUCAUCAGAGUCCAGUCCGGACGACUGGCCAUGGCCCAGGGUGGAGUGGAUGACCUUGGCCUUUUAAAAUGAAGGUGCUCCCCUGCUCUCCGUUUGUGGGAGGCCAUACCCAUUCACCGACUAAGGGCUAGGUGAGGAUGGGGACAAAGAUGACCCAAUCUGCCAUCACAAAAGUAUUAAUCUGGGUGAGAGCUGGAGGGGCAAACUGAGGCCAUCCAUGGUGGAACAGGCUGCCCAGGAGGUCAGGGCGGAUUCUACCUCACUCUCUGCACUAUAGAUUUAAGGCUAAAGGGGCAUUUACCAGAAGGCUACCUAAGCCAACUCCUUCACAUUUAUAGAUAAAGAAACUGAGAUCCAGAGGAGGACAGAGACUUGCCCAAGGUUAUACACAUAGUAGGUACCAAGUCAGCAUUGGAACCCAGGACCUCAGCCUCUCAACCCAGGGCUUAUCCACGGCACCGGACUGUCUCGCCAGUGCUCACCAGGCCAAGACUGGAGAACCGUCUGUCGGGCAUGUUGGAGUGAGGAUGGGCUCUGGUAUGGGUCCCUUCUGACCCAGAGCCUCUGAUGCUGUGAGUGAGGCCAGCCAGCCAAGCUCAUCUUUCUCCUCUCAGGUUUCUUCAAAGAUCCUGCUUCCCCUUGGUGGGCCAGGAGGCUGUCCCCUUGUAGCAGGUAAAGAGGAAGCCCAACCCGGUGGUUGGAACUGGGCCCUUGGAGCUACAGGCCGCUCCCUCCCUGGGCUGGCCCUGCUGAGGGGAAAGGGAGAUGGUGCCGGAGAAGCCACGGCCCACCCACCCGGCCAAGAUGACCACUACCAACAGAAGGGGAAGCUGAGGGACUGGGCCUUGUGACCCCAGCUGAGGGUCAAGGGAAAGGAAACACAGCAUGGCUAGAAUGGUAUGCAGAUGUCGGGCCCUGCUGGGCCCAUGCCCUGAGUGCCCCGCCCCUGCAGAAGGGCCCAGCUCGAUUCUAUGGCACCCAGUUGAGUUCCCAUCCACUGGGAGCUCUUAAGGACUCUUGUCCUCUCCCCCUUCCCCCUGGAGUGGCUGGAAUCCCAAACGGUGCCCUGCAAUGGGGGAGAUGGGUGCCAGGGAAGGGGUGAGGGCAGCAAGAAGGCAGGGCAGGCCCGUUCCAGGGCCAAGCAGGCAGGAGGCUGGUAAGAGGAUGACCAUACCCACUCCCUCUGCCCCACACCUAGUUAGUCCACAAACAGGUCUGACCGAACCACUACUAACUCUGACCCACCAAGGGGACGCUGCUUGGUGGGAGGAAAGUUGAGAGGCUCCCAAGGCUAUGGAGGAGACCACCCCCAGCUGCUGGGUGCCUGCCACUCACCUCUCUGCCCUGGCCUUUAAAAGGGCAGAGUAGGGGACUCUCCAAGAUGAGGCACCAUGAGGAAAUGAGAAGUGACCCAGUAGAGAAGGGGCCAGGGGACCCCGGUGAUGGCUGGGGAGCGGCACUCCUGAGGCCUGUCUGCUCUCUGCCCACGUGCCCCUUCUCUCAAUUCCGACAUGCCUGCCCAGGCCCCCAGGUUGCUGAUCUCACAGGCUUGGUCUCCUGGCAGCUGGGCUCUGGGGCCCACAAUUCACUCCUCAGUCUCUGCCCCUGCUCCUUUUUGCAUUUCAAAUAACACCCCUUUCCCUGUUCCCACCCGGCCCUAUGGAUGGGCGGAUGGGCACAGGUGGUAUAUGGAAAAGCCAAUAAUGAAAAGAUGGGCCUGGAAAGAAACCUGGGUUUGAACCCUGGUUAUGAUGUAGAGGCUGGGUGGCCUUGGGCAAACUUCACAGGGGUUCACAGCCCCUGGAGGCCACUUGGUUCAGUCCUCUUUUUACAGCAGAAGAAACAGGCCCAGAGUCACUCAGAUAGUAAGCUUGGGACACAGCAUUUGAAGCCAGGUCCUGAGUCCAGAGGCAAGGCUCUUUGCACAGCAGAGUGCGGCCUUUCCGGUUUGCUCACCUGCACAGUGGGGUUAACCUUUGCACUCUCUGCCUCAUGAGGUCAUCAGGAAAGCCUUAGGGCCGUUGUAGACCUUAAGGUUCCGUAAGUAGGAGCUGCCAUGAGGUCAUUGCACCGGGGAUGGGGAAUGGGGGAAGGAAAUGGAAAAGAGAACCAUACCAGCCCCCCAGUCCAGCUCUGCCCGGGGCUCCACCAGGAAGGUUUGGGGGAACAGGGUGGGUGGGAGAUAAGGCCA